rnacentral:rRNA from 1 species
UACGUAGGGGGCAAGCGUUAUCCGGAUUUACUGGGUGUAAAGGGAGCGUAGACGGCACGGCAAGCCAGAUGUGAAAGCCCAGGGCUCAACCCCGGGACUGCAUUUGGAACUGCUGAGCUAGAGUGUCGGAGAGGCAAGUGGAAUUCCUAGUGUAGCGGUGAAAUGCGUAGAUAUUAGGAGGAACACCAGUGGCGAAGGCGGCUUGCUGGACGAUGACUGACGUUGAGGCUCGAAAGCGUGGGGAGCAAACAGG